CAAAUAUCGUAGAGAAUGCUCACGGAUCGCCUAUUGUCAAUCACCUAUCUCAUCUGUAGAAUGACAUCCAAGGCACAAGCACAUAUCUUCCUUCACAUGACCGAAGCCCUUCGACUAAUUUGGAUCUCUCCUCUGAUUGUCCAAGUAUCAUACCUGACCCUCAUCAUUGUACUCCAAGUGGAGUCAGGGUGUAGAAUAAACCUAAUAGCAUGCCAAGCAAUCAGAGCCUCCCAUCUAGCUACAAAGGACUGAGUCCCUAGACCACCCUCCCACUGAUGCUGACACACCACAUCCCAGGCCACCAGAUGCACACCCCUACCACCACC
rnacentral:lncRNA from 1 species